rnacentral:sRNA from 1 species
CCGAGUUUAGAGAGACCGUGCGGUAAGA